CCGCCUUUAGCUCAGUGGUCGAGCGUUGGCUUUGGAAGCCACAGGUCGGUGGUUCGAACCCGCCAGGGCACA
rfam:Phytophthora infestans T30-4 supercont1.13 genomic scaffold, whole genome shotgun sequence.